AAAACCAAACCCCUUGCUUUUAAGUCUUGUUUUUAGAGUCAAAACCUGUUUUCUUUUGAUCUUUUGAGUCUUUUAAGUUCUAUUUUCGUCCAAAUCACUUAUUAGGUCUAGAAUUGAGUCUUUUUUAUUGUUUCUUGCUGUUUUGAGUGUUUUGAGUUAGUUUUGAGUCUAUAGAGUCUAGUUUAGUGUUUUUGAGUCUUAUUUGUGUUGAUUAGCAUCCCUAGUUAAUCCCCGGUCUAGAAUGAUCCCUACUUGCAUCAUUACUACAAUUGUCAUCAAUAGGGUUUAAUUUGUGUGUCAACUUAAUUUUCACAUCAAAUUUUGGCGCCGUUGCCGGGGAUU
rnacentral:lncRNA from 1 species